rnacentral:rRNA from 4 species
UACCAGCACCCCGAGUGGUCGGGACGAUUAUUGGGCCUAAAGCAUCCGUAGCCGGUCCUGCAAGUCUUCCGUUAAAUCCAGCUGCUCAACAGAUGGGCUGCGGGAGAUACUACAGGGCUAGGAGGCGGGAGAGGCAAGCGGUACUUUAUGGGUAGGGGUAAAAUCCGCUGAUCCAUAGAAGACCACCAGUGGCGAAGGCGGCUUGCCAGAACGCGCUCGACGGUGAGGGAUGAAAGCUGGGGGAGCAAACCGG